AAAGUACUCCCUCCGUCCCAAAAUUCUUGUCUUAGAUUUGUCUAGAUAUGGAUGUAUCAAGUCACAUUUUAGUAUUAGAUACAUCUGUAUCUAGAUAAAUCUAAGACAAGAAAUUUGGAACAAAGGGAGUAGUUG
rfam:Triticum aestivum genome assembly, contig: Triticum_aestivum_CS42_TGACv1_scaffold_050405_1BS